AUUGAACGCUGGCGGCAUGCCUAACACAUGCAAGUCGAACGGAUUCGGGAGCAAUCCCGGGUUAGUGGCGGACGGGUGAGGAAUGCGUCGGAAUCUACCCUAUGGUGGGGGGAUAACACAGGGAAACUUGUGCUAAUACCGCAUGAUGUCGAGAGACCAAAGCAGGGGACCGCAAGGCCUUGCGCGAUAGGAUGAGCCGACGCCCGAUUAGCUAGUUGGUAGGGUAAAGGCCUACCAAGGCGACGAUCGGUAGCUGGUUUGAGAGGAUGACCAGCCACACUGGGACUGAGACACGGCCCAGACUCCUACGGGUGGCAG
rnacentral:rRNA from 1 species